rnacentral:lncRNA from 1 species
CCGAGGAUGGCUGGCGGAGGCGUGGGGCAGGCCGCAGGACCCUCGAAGGAUCGUGUGAGACCCCGGGCAGCCUCUUGGGAGGCCAUUUCGAGGAGAAAACCUUGAUUUCUGCCUCAGGACCCUGGGCCUCAGUUUUCCUAUCUGAGAAGAAGGGCGAAGAGCUGUGCCCCCGACCACACCCGUCGGUGAUGGGGCAAACCGAGGGCAAGCAGGUUUGGUUCCUGCCCAGCAAAGGUGAGGGAGGACGGAGGAGACUCUCCCACCGCAUUCAGAACUUUAUUCCUUUAUUUUUGUCUCAAUCUUGUCAUAGAGGAGCGCUUCACUUUUGGUCAUCCCUUGGGCCACCAGGGCCUUCCCGUCUCCGUCUUCCCAUCGCAGGUCCUGGCCUCCUUCACACCACUCCAGGAUACCGCAGCAUCUCCCCCAGCGCAGCAGACGGAGGGCGCUUCACAUGCCCCCGGACCUAAGCCCACUCUCCCCUUCAAGAUCUGGACUCCACUUUUUUGCAACACUCUUAACUUCUUUGGAAGCUGGGAAGCCUCCUACUCCCUUGGGCCUCUCCACCCUGCCCUCAGCUAACUCGUCGGCAAGCCCCAGCCUAGACAUUGCCUGUUUUGUGAAGACAUCUAGAUGCUGGGCUGUCUGUUGAGUGCCCCACCCUGUGUUUGAGCAGCACCCUCUACUUCCCCUGUUCUACUUGCAUGUUUAUGUGCUCGUCUUCCUCAUUAUAAGAUCCACAGGGGAGGGGCCAUGUCUAUAUUAUUCAUACUUACAGUCCAGUGUCUAGUAUCUGGCACGUAGUAGGCACUCACUAGCUAUUGAGAUAUAAAUAUAGAUAUUUGUUGAAUUGAAAAUGAAUUGGGCCGGGCGUGGUGGCUCACGCCUGUAAUCCCAGAACUUUGGGAGGCCGAGGCAGGUGGAUCACUAGGUCAGGAGUUCGAGACAAGUCUGACCAAAAUGGUGAAACCCAGUCUCUACUAAAAAUACAAAAAUUAGCUGGGCGUGGUGGCACGUGCCUGUAAUCCCAGCUAUUCAGGAGGCUGAGGCGGGAGAAUCGCUUGAACCCCGGGAGGUGGAGGUUGCAGUGAGUCGAGAUUGCACCACUACACUCCAGCCUGGACAACAGAGUGAGACCCUGUCUCAAAAAAAAAAAAAAAAAAAGAGAAAAAGAAUAAAAUUAAAAAAAAGAAAAUAAAGGAACCUCAUUCACAUACACCUCCAAAACUCUGAUUUCCUAAAGUUGGGCAUUUCUCAUUGCUGGAGGUGUUCAGUUAGAGGCAUGCCGCCCCCUUGAAGAAAUGUUUAUUUCAUUUGUACAGUGGGUUGGGAUUUUACCUGAAUGCUUUGAGUACCCUUUUAAUCCUAUGAUGCUAGAGAUUGAUAGACCCAUGCCUAUUAUUCCUGUCAGUUCUCCCUGAAAUGUCAUCAGUUCUUCAUGUUCCGCUAUUUCUAGCUGUUGGCCCUACUCGUUUCUGUGCCUAAAUGCCCUACCUCCCACUCCUUUUCUGAGAAAGAUCUUCUGCCCUGUCAGUUAUGAAGUAAAGAUGUCCUAAGAUUCCUGCUCUUUCUUUUUUCUUUCUUUCUUUCUCUCUCUUUUUUUUUUUUUUCGACGGAGUUUCGCUCUUGUUGCCUGGAGUGCAAUGGCUGGAGUGCAAUGGCGCGAUCUCAGCUCACUGCAGCCUCUGCCACCUAGGCCCACCUUGGUCUCCCCAAGUGCUGGCAUUACAGGUGUGAGCCACUGUGCCCGGCCUCCUGCUCUUCUUUCAACCCUCUGCUCAGCAUCUUAGGCCUCAUUGGUGAUGUCCCACCUUGCUAGGUAGCAUCUUUCCUGAAUAUUUCUCCACUAAACAUUCUGAUGUUGGCUAGAUGGCCUAGUUAAUCUACACAUUUCAUUUUAUCACCUUCUCCAGAUGUUUUUUUGUGUAUGUCAGCUGAUACACUCUGGGGAGAAUGCCUUAAUAUAUGGGAAUAAUUAACUCAUGGCCAAGAAGGAAAUAACCAAGGGGACUUUUACUCUGGACCUAAUUCAAACCAAAGAGACAGAGCCUGAGAGAAAGCAGCUCUGUCAUCCUUGAGUUAGUAACAUCCAGGAAGGGAAGGCUAGGGUGGGGGAGUGAGUAAAACAGAUGGCAUUUAGGGAAGAACCAACAGGACUUUAAGAGGCAUGGCAGAGGGGCUUUGAUCCUGGCUAAACCAUCAGGGAAGGCAAUUGGAGCUGGGUGAACAGAUGGGGUCUUAUUACUGAAGAGAAAACGGUAAGGAGGCAGGGGGAAAUGGGACGUGUGCUAAAGCAGAGUGCCUCAUUCAGUGGAUGCAGUGAGAGCAGAGGCUGUUGGAAAAGUGGAUCAGGGAGGACCAUGCCACCAGGUGGGCAUCAGCAGAGUAUCACCCGAGUAUUGCAGAGGGAUACCAAAUAAGUCCACCUGAAGCCAGAGCUGAAACCCUGUGGAGGUCCGUUUACCCCUUCAGAAGUAGUGUACCACCAUCCAUCUACCACUGGAAUCCAAUUUCAGUUUUGGCAAAUUGUUAUAAAUAGGAAAAAGUCAGGGUUCCACAAUUCUGGCAGCACCCAGAGACUAUAACAGCAUCUGCACAGCCAAGUAGAGUUAGGAAACCUGGAUCCUAAUCCUGACUUUGCCUCUGAUUAGAUGUGUGAUCCUGGGCUGGAGCUGUUUUUUCAGUUGUAAAAUGCUGUUUAUUGGUGUUAGGUAGCAGCUAAUAAGGCUGGAGGUGGGGCUGGGUGUAGUGGCUCACACAUGUAAUCUCAGCAGUUUGACAGGCCAAGGCAGGAGGAUUGCUGGAGGCCAGGGAUUUGAGACCAGCUUGGGCUACAUAGUGAGACUCUGCCUGUACUAAAAAUUAAAAAAAAAAAAAAUAACUCAGUGCAGUGGCGCAUGCCUGUAGUCCCAGCUACUCAGGAGGUUGGGGUGGGAGGGUUGCUUGAGCCCAGGAGUUUGAGGCUGCAGUGAACUAUGAUCAAUCACACCACUGCAUUCUAGUAGCCUGAGUGACAGAGCAAGACCUGUCUCUAAAAAAAAAGAAAUUUUUUUUAAGGGUGGAGGUAGGGAAAUUCAAAGCUACUUACUAGCUGUGUGACCUUGCCUAAACUACCUCCUUGGAUUUGCAGUCUGUUUAUUUGAAAAUGUCAUAAGGGAUAAAUGAGAUUCCUUAUGUAAAGUACUUUAUAAAUAUUAAGCACUUACCAAAUGUUAGUCUGUUUUCACAUUAUUCUUCUUGGAUUACCAGAAAUUGGUUUGACCAUGAAUAAACAGGAGAUAAUUUCUUGGGUAAUCUGAGUUUGAAUCCCCUUUCUCUCUCUUACUAAUUGUAUGACUUUGAUUAGGUUAUUUAAUAUUUAAUUGUUCUGGGUCUCAGUUUUCUCAUUUGUGAAAUUAAAAUGUGUUCUUCAGAAUUGUGAGGGUUAAAUGUGAUAAAAGGCCUGACUCAUAUGAGAAAAUGCUCAAUAUAUUUGUUUUGUCAUUUUUAAGGGGUGGUUUUAGGGCACAGAACCCUAAAGGAAUGAAUGGAAUUCUAAAUACUUCGAAGCUAGAGUAGUGAAAGAUUCCAGGGGAACACAGUGCUGGCCUUCUCCCUUCUUCUUGGGGAAGAAAAGAUCUCAGUGAAGUUCCAUGGGUCUUCUCAGUAAGUAAAGAGGAGAUUAACUAGAAUGCUGAAUCUCAGACACUGAGGGGUUAGAGUGAUUGACCAGGGCUGGGUCCUGAAGAGCUUGGUAUUCUAGGCUGAGAAUAUAAUUUUAUUCUAAAGCUAAUGAAGGUUUUUAGGGAGAUGUGCAUUUUGAAAAGGUCUAGGGGCUGCUUGGAGAAUGGCCAGGAGAAGAUGAGGCUGGGAUGUGGAUCAGGUAAAUAUUCCGAGGACUUUGUGAAUGAGAGCUGAGGGCGUGGAGGAAACUAGUAAAAGUCAAAGAUGAUGCUUAGGUGUCUGCCUUGGGUAACUAGGGGAUGGAUGGGGGUGCUAUCCCCUGAGAUGUGACACAGUAAAGGAGCAAGUUUAGGCAGGAAGAGAAGUAGGUAAGUUUGAAUUGGGUGUGAUAUGUCCAAACAAGAUGUCUAGGAGGUGGUUCGGAGCUUAUGAGAGGGAUCUGGUUAAGGGAUAGAGUCAUAAAUUAUCAAAUUAUCACCAUAUAGAUCAUAAUUGAAGCCAUGGGAAUGAAUGGAUCCUUCAGUAGAGAGGGUCAAAGAAAUGAACAAAAUUCCUUGGGAAAUACCAUCAUUUAGGGGGCAAGUAGAGAAAGAGGAACCCAGAGGAAAAGGUGAGACCAGUCAGAGAGAUUGGAAGAAAAUCAUAGGGUGGGGUGCCACAGAAGCCACAGGGAGGAAGUGGGGUGAAGUACCUUCAGAUAAGCCAAGAUCUGAAAAAACAAAUACAAAAUUUAGCAACAAAAAGGUCACUGGUGACCUUGGAGAGAGUG